rnacentral:rRNA from 1 species
CANCNCUNAAGGUGGCGGCAGGCCUAACACAUGCAAGUCGGACGCCUUNAAGAUUAGCUUGCUAAUUGCUGACGAGUGGCGGACGGGUGAGUAAUACUUAGGGAUCUGCCUUUGUGAGGGGGAUAACCAUUGGAAACGAUGGCUAAUACCGCAUAAUGCCUACGGACCAAAGGGGGCUUUUAGCUCUCGCACGAAGAGGAACCUAAGCGAGAUUAGCUAGUUGGUGGGGUAAAGGCUCACCAAGGCGACGAUCUCUAGCUGUUCUGAGAGGAAGAUCAGCCACACUGGGACUGAGACACGGCCCAGACUCCUACGGGAGGCAGCAGUGGGGAAUAUUGCACAAUGGGGGAAACCCUGAUGCAGCCAUGCCGCGUGUGUGAAGAAGGCCUUCGGGUUGUAAAGCACUUUCAGUCGUGAGGAAAGGUUGGUAGUUAAUACCUGCCAACUAUGACGUUAGCGACAGAAGAAGCACCGGCUAACUCCGUGCCAGCAGCCGCGGUAAUACGGAGGGUGCGAGCGUUAAUCGGAAUUACUGGGCGUAAAGCGCACGCAGGCGGUUUGUUAAGCUAGAUGUGAAAGCCCCGGGCUCAACCUGGGAGGGUCAUUUAGAACUGGCAGACUAGAGUCUUGGAGAGGGGAGUGGAAUUCCAGGCGUAGCGGUGAAAUGCGUAGAGAUCUGGAGGAACAUCAGUGGCGAAGGCGACUCCCUGGCCAAAGACUGACGCUCAUGUGCGAAAGUGUGGGUAGCGAACAGGAUUAGAUACCCUGGUAGUCCACACCGUAAACGCUGUCUACUAGCUGUUUGUGUAUUUAAUACGUGAGUAGCGAAGCUAACGCGCUAAGUAGACCGCCUGGGGAGUACGGCCGCAAGGUUAAAACUCAAUUGAAUUGACGGGGGNCCGCACANGCGGUG